rnacentral:rRNA from 1 species
CCUACGGGAGGCAGCAGUGGGGGAUAUUGCACAAUGGGGGAAACCCUGAUGCAGCGACGCCGCGUGUGGGAAGACGGUCCUCUGGAUUGUAAACCACUGUCCCCAGGGACGAAGAUGACGGUACCUGGGGAGGAAGCUCCGGCUAACUACGUGCCAGCAGCCGCGGUAAUACGUAGGGAGCGAGCGUUGUCCGGAAUUACUGGGUGUAACGGGAGCGUAGGCGGGACUGCAAGUUGGGUGUCAAAUCUACCGGCUCAACCGGUAGCCGCACUCAAAACUGCAGUUCUUGAGUGAAGUAGAGGCAGGCGGAAGUCCUAGUGUAGCGGUGAAAUGCGUAGAUAUUAGGAGGAACACCAGUGGCGAAGGCGGCCUGCUGGGCUUUUACUGACGCUGAGGCUCGAAAGUGUGGGGAGCAAACAGGAUUAGAUACCCCGGUAGUC